CGUCUAGGCGGGGAGUUAAGUUAGUGUGAAUCUAUGGGCUCAACUCAUAAACUGCAUCUAAAAACUGAUUCUCUUGAGUUCGGGAGAGGAAAGCGGAAUUCCCCGGUGUAACGGUGAAAUGUGUAGAUAUCGGGAGGAACACCAGUGGCGAAGGCGGCUUUCUGGCCUAGAACUGACGCUGAAGCGCGAAAGCGCGGGUAGCGAAC
rnacentral:rRNA from 1 species